UACUGCUCAGUAACACGUCGUCAAUCUGCCGUUGCGAGGCGUUAAUCCUGGGAAACUGGGGGUAAUACGCCGUAGCACCCGAAAUCUGGAAUGGUUUUGGGUGUGAGAAGAUGCACCCGCAUGCUGGGUGUAAUCGCGCAUCGAUGAGACGGCGGUCGAUUAGGUAGUUGGUGGGGUAACGGCCCACCAAGCCGACGAUCGAUACGGGCCUUGAAAGAGGGAGCCCGGAGAAGGGAACUGAGAUAAGGUCCCUAGCCCUAAGGGGUGCAGCAGUUAGGAAACCUUUACACUGCGCGCAAGCGCGAUAGGGGUAGUUCGAGUGCGCUCUCUGAGCGCUUUUGCCAACCGUAAAUACGUUGGCGAAUAAGGGGGGGGUAAUAUACGUGCCAGCCGCCGCGGUAAUACGUAAUCCCCAAGUGGUACCCACGAAUAUUGGGCCUAAAGCGUUCGUAGCCGGUCGAACAAGUCCUUGGUGAAAAGGGCACGCUUAACGUGUCCAAUGGCUAAGGAUACUGUUCGGCUAAGAGGCUAGUAGAGGUGCAUGGAAUUACGGGGGUAACGGUGAAAUGUUGUGAUCCUCGUAGGACCACCGGUAGCGAAGGCGAUGCACCAGGAUAGACCUGACGGUGAGGAACGAAAGCUGGGGGAGCGACCCGGAUUAGAUACCCGGUUAGUCCCAGCUGUAAACGAUGCAGACUAGGUGUUCGGUUUUCUACGUG
rnacentral:rRNA from 1 species